rnacentral:misc_RNA from 1 species
GAUGAAGAACGUAGCGAAAUGCGAUAAGUAGUGUGAAUUGCAGAAUUCAGUGAAUCAUCGAAUCUUUGAACGCACAUUGCGCCCUUUGGUAUUCCUUAGGGCAUGCCUGUUCGAGCGUCAUUUGUACCUUCAAGCUCUGCUUGGUGUUGGGUGUUUGUCUCGCCUCUGCGCGUAGACUCGCCUCAAAACAAUUGGCAGCCGGCGUAUUGAUUUCGGAGCGCAGUACAUCUCGCGCUUUGCACUCAUAACGACGACGUCCAAAAGUACAUUUUUACACUCUUGACCUCGGAUCAGGUAGGGAUACCCGCUGAACUUAAGCAUAUCAAUAAGCGGAGGA